AUGUUCUGUUUAGGUAACAGUUUCACAAUCCAUCACACACAUAUACGUACACUCACACACCUUUUUUUUUUCUUUUUAAUCUCCGUUUGAAUUGAAUCGAACACACAUCCGUCUGGGGAUUUCAAACUUAAUCAAAUAUCAAUCAAUCGCCUUGUAUGCGCGCACGUUAUUAUAAAUAUCACGUGUUCACAUACGUCCCACGAUAAAUCAAUCGAAUAGAGAGUGUCUUGCGGAGAAACGCGUAGGUAAUAUCAACAAAAAGACCCCGACAUUUUCACUCGCAUCACCUGAUCAGAGUUGGGAGGAAGAACG